GACGAACGCUGGCGGCGUGCUUAACACAUGCAAGUCGAACGAAGAGCGAUGGAAGCUUGCUUCUAUCAAUCUUAGCGGCGAACGGGUGAGUAACGCGUAAUCAACCUGCCCUUCAGAGGGGGACAACAGUUGGAAACGACUGCUAAUACCGCAUACGAUCUAAUCUCAGCAUCGAGGAUAGAUGAAAGGUGGCCUCUACAUGUAAGCUAUCACUGAAGGAGGGGAUUGCGUCUGAUUAGCUAGUUGGAGGGGUAACGGCCCACCAAGGCGAUGAUCAGUAGCCGGUCUGAGAGGAUGAACGGCCACAUUGGGACUGAGACACGGCCCAGACUCCUACGGGAGGCAGCAGUGGGGAAUCUUCCGCAAUGGACGAAAGUCUGACGGAGCAACGCCGCGUGAGCGAUGACGGCCUUCGGGUUGUAAAGCUCUGUUAAUCGGGACGAAAGGCCUUCUUGCGAAUAGUGAGAAGGAUUGACGGUACCGGAAUAGAAAGCCACGGCUAACUACGUG
rnacentral:rRNA from 1 species